GCAAAACUGCAUCCUUGGAAUGUUGCAGUACAAAGGGAUCAAGGUGGCUUGGGAUGGCAAGGAGGUCUUGUCUGUCAUGGCCCUAAAAGAGAAAAUGGUGAAGGAGUUGACGCUGGUGGGACCCACCUGGAGUACUGCAUCGAGCUCUGGAGCACUAAGCA